GACGAACGCUGGCGGCGUGCUUAACACAUGCAAGUCGAACGGUAAGGCCCUUCGGGGUACACGAGUGGCGAACGGGUGAGUAACACGUGGGUGAUCUGCCCUGCACUUCGGGAUAAGCCUGGGAAACUGGGGAUAAUACCGGAUAGGACCACUGCCUGCAUGGGUGGCGUGGGAAAGCUUUUGCGGUGUGGGAUGGGCCCGCUGCCUAUCAGCUUGUUGGUGGGGAGAUGGCCUACCAAGGCGACGACGGGUAGCCGGCCUGAGAGGGUGACCGGCCACACUGGGACUGAGAUACGGCCCAGACUCCUACGGGAGGCAGCAGUGGGGAAUAUUGCACAAUGGGCGCAAGCCUGAUGCAGCGACGCCGCGUGAGGGAUGACGGCCUUCGGGUUGUAAACCUCUUUCAGCACCGACGAAGCGCAAGUGACGGUAGGUGCAGAAGAAGGACCGGCCAACUACGUGCCAGCAGCCGCAGUAA
rnacentral:rRNA from 1 species